GAAACCAACAGGGAUUGCCCCAGUAACGGCGAGUGAAGCGGCAACAGCUCAAAUUUGAAAUCUGGCCCCUAGGGUCCGAGUUGUAAUUUGUAGAGGAUGCUUUUGGUGAGGUGCCGCCCGAGUUCCCUGGAACGGGACGCCACAGAGGGUGAGAGCCCCGUCUGGCUGGCCACCGAGCCUCUGUAAAGCUCCUUCGACGAGUCGAGUAGUUUGGGAAUGCUGCUCAAAAUGGGAGGUAUAUGUCUUCUAAAGCUAAAUAUUGGCCAGAGACCGAUAGCGCACAAGUAGAGUGAUCGAAAGAUGAAAAGCACCUUGAAAAGAGGGUUAAAUAGUACGUGAAAUUGUUGAAAGGGAAGCGCUUGUGACCAGACUUGGGCGCGGCGGAUCAUCCGGGGUUCUCUCCGGUGCACUUCGCCGCGUCUAGGCCAGCAUCAGUUCGUCGCGGGGGAAAAAGGCUUCGGGAACGUGGCUGCUCCGGCAGUGUUAUAGCCCGUUGCAUAAUACCCUGCGGUGGACUGAGGACCGCGCAUCUGCAAGGAUGCUGG
rnacentral:rRNA from 1 species